rnacentral:rRNA from 1 species
CAGCCGUAAACAAUGUGCGUUAGGUGUGUCGGUAACCACGUGUUACUGAUGCGCCGAAGAGAAAUCGUGAAACGCACCACCUGGGAAGUACGGUCGCAAAGCUGAAACUUAAAGGAAUUGGCGGGGGAGCACCACAACAGGUGGAGCCUGCGGUUUAAUUGGAUUCAACGCCGGACAUCUCACCGGAUAAGACAGCUGAAUGAUUGUCAAUCUGAAGGUUUUACAUGACUAGCUGAGAGGAGGUGCAUGGCGUAGACGUGU